rnacentral:rRNA from 1 species
UGUUGUGCGAAGGUAGCAUAAUCAUUAGUCUUUUAAUUGAAGGCUUGUAUGAAUGGUUGGACAAAAAGUAAGCUGUCUCAGUUAUAAUAAUUGAAUUUAACUUUUAAGUGAAAAGGCUUAAAUGGAUUAAGGGGACGAUAAGACCCUAUAAAGCUUGACAAUAAGUUAAUUAUAUUAUAAAUUGUUAGUAUAACUUGAUUUUAAUUGAUGUUUGUUACGUUGGGGCGACGAGAAUAUAAUGAGUAACUGUUCUUAAAUGUUUAUUGACAAAUAUAAUUGGUAUUUGAUUGAUCCUUUAUUAAAGAUUAAAAGAUUAAGUUACUUUAGGGAUAACAGCGUAAUCUUCUUUGAGAGUUCAUAUCGACAAGAAGGUUUGCGACCUCGAUGUUGAAUUAAGGA